AUACCGGCCAGAGACCGAUAGCGCACAAGUAGAGUGAUCGAAAGAUGAAAAGUACUUUGGAAAGAGAGUCAAAUAGCACGUGAAAUUGUUGAAAGGGAAGCGCUUGCAGCCAGACUUGCCCGCAGUUGCUCACCUAGGCUUUCGCCUGGGGCACUCUUCUGCGGGCAGGCCAGCAUCAGUUUGGGCGGUCGGAUAAAGGCCUCUGUCAUGUACCACCCCUCGGGGUGGCCUUAUAGGGGAGGCGUAAUGCGACCAGCCCGGACUGAGGUACGCGCAUUGCAAGGAUGCUGGCGUAAUGGUCAUCAGCGACCCGUCUUGAAACACGGACC
rnacentral:rRNA from 1 species